GUUUAUGGCCAUACCACCCUGAACGUGCCGAAUCUCAUCUAAUCUGGGAAGCUAAACAGGGUCGGGCCUGGUCAGUACUUGGAUGGGAGACCGCUUGGGAAUACCCGGUGCUGUUGGCU
rnacentral:rRNA from 1 species